rnacentral:lncRNA from 1 species
UCUUGAGGUCUUUCUGCAUUCUUCAAAUAUCUAAUUAUUUCUAGGUGUAGCUCUGCACCACAAGAAGGGAUCGAGGAGAAGAUCGCAGAGAAGCAGGAGCACAGAUGCGGCCCCGGGAUUAAGAGCUUAGGCUCUGAAGGUAAGAUGUGACUCCACAGUGUCUCUAGCUUCCUACGUGGAAAUCCCAAGAAGAGCCAGGCCAGAACACAUGAGAUCGAGCAACUGGAACCUCUGUGAGAGCAGAGACCACGUCUGG